rnacentral:pre_miRNA from 1 species
AGAAAAGUAAAAGAGCUCCCCUCAGCCAAUAAGGAGGGACGAUCAUGGAUAGAGCUGCCAUCUCAUGCAUUGUGGCAAUACUUGAGAUUUGAUAAAGGAAAAGUUAAUUAAUGUCAAGUUUGGCCAAGUGCAUGGUAUGGGAGCAACUCCUCCUAUGCUUUUCCCACCCAUUGGACUGAAGGGAGCUCCUUUCUCUCUCUCU